rnacentral:lncRNA from 1 species
GCGAAGGGAAGGAGGAGAAGUCGCUGGUGUCGGUGGAGCCCGUGCUCGCCGGCAUCAGGGAAGGCAAGAGAGAGACCACAGCCUCCGCUGGCAUUGGUGCCCGUGGUUGUCACCGCUUGCUUCGGCGAGAACGCAAACAUGUUCCCACCCUCACCGUCUCCGCCGCGGCCACCGCCCUUGUCCCGCCGACCACCGGAGCAGAAGGAGGCAUCUUCUUGUGCGGGAAAGAGGGCAGGAGGAAGCAUCACCGCCGGGUGCGGCGCAGCGCGCGGAGAAGGCGACCGCGGAGUGCACGUGCUUUAUGCGGAGCUCGGCGAGGUGGUGGCACGACGUCGCCGGCGGCUUAUCGUGCUCCCUUCAGGCACUCGCUGUCCUCGCCGACCACCUUAUCCUUGCCACCGUCGAGGAUCGUCACGCCGCCCCUGCCCCAGCCGCAUCAAUCCCCUUUCACCCGGCUGCCGUUGGUCCCCAGCGACUCCAGGAGCUCCAUGAUGUCGCCCAU